ACUAUAAUAAUUUAUUAUAAAAUUUUGGUCUUGUAAACCAAAUAAGGAGUUUCCUUAUAGUC
rnacentral:tRNA from 2 species